GAUGAACGCUGGCGGCGUGCCUAACACAUGCAAGUCGAGCGUGAUUUAUGAGGACGAAACUUCGGUCUAGGAAUCAUAAUGAAAGCGGCGGACGGGUGAGUAACGCGUAGGCAACCUGCCCUUAACACAGGGAUAGCCUCGGGAAACCGGGAUUAAAACCUGAUGAUGCCAAAGAGUCACAUGGCUCGUUGGCCAAAGAUUUAUCGGUUAAGGAUGGGCCUGCGUCUGAUUAGUUUGUUGGUGGGGUAACGGCCUACCAAGACUACGAUCAGUAGCCGACCGGAGAGGGUGAUCGGCCACAUUGGAACUGAGACACGGUCCAAACUCCUACGGGAGGCAGCAGUGGGGAAUAUUGCACAAUGGGCGAAAGCCUGAUGCAGCAACGCCGCGUGAGCGAUGAAGGCCUUUGGGUCGUAAAGCUCUGUCCUUGGGGAAGAAACAAAUGACGGUACCCAAGGAGGAAGCCCCGGCUAACUACGUGCCAGCCGCCGCCGUAA
rnacentral:rRNA from 1 species